rnacentral:rRNA from 1 species
UACGUAGGGUGCAAGCGUUGUCCGGAAUUAUUGGGCGUAAAGAGCUCGUAGGCGGUUUUGUUGCGUCGGCUGUGAAAUCCCGAGGCUCAACCUCGGGUCUGCAGUCGAUACGAGCAAACUAGAGUGUUGCAGGGGAGACUGGAAUUCCCGGUGUAGCGGUGAAAUGCGCAGAUAUCGGGAAGAACACCCGUGGCGAAGGCGGUUCUCUGGGACGGUACUGACGCUGAGACGCGAAAGCGUGGGGGAGCGAACAGG